GGCUGUGUGUCUCAGUUGGUAGAGCAUUUGGACAUAGUGUGUAGAGGCUAUAGUCUCUAUACUCCUUGUGGCUGCCCUGGGUUCAGUUCCCAGUCCCAGCCA